UAGGCUUCCUGGACGUGACUGUGCUCU
rnacentral:piRNA from 1 species